ensembl:lncRNA
CACGGCGUCACGGCGCCCGCCGGCAACGCCUCCCCGACGCCCCCCGAUUCCUGGAAAGAGCGGCAGGGGGAGCGGCCCGGCCCGGCCCGUCUCGGUCUGGUCUGCAGGAGUUGUGGCGGCCGCACGCCGCGAUGGGUCGCGUCGCUCCUCCGGAGUGCCACGGCGUAUUCUGCUUACGAUCAAAGUUCCCGCGCGUGGCGAGCAGAGCGCCGUGCGGUUUUGUGUCUGCGGCGCGAAGCGAGGCCUGGGCGCGGCGGGACCUCAGCCGUGCGGUGAAGGUCGCGGCUGCGGGUCGGGAGCGGCCUGUGGGGAGCGAAAGCAAAAGCAAAGCCAGGCCGGGCAGGAGGAGCCUUGCGCUGAGGGACGGGCGGCCUGCGGACCGCGCCUGGCCGGCUCUCCAGGCAUAGGGGCAGCUGCUGCCGUCGGUCUGAGCUCGCAAGUUUGAGGCCGCUGCUGAGAGCCGAACGAGAUGUGGAAGACCCCGUAGGUCCCGAGGGGAAAGUCAGCGACUGCCCCCUCCUCUCACAACGUUUCACAACUAAAUCAAAAGUCAUCGUGCAGCAGAAGAGGGUGAAAGGAGAUAACGACAGAAGGGGAGGAGCGGGGCUGUGUCCUUUCACAGACCGGGCAGUGAAUGCGAGGGAAUGGGACCUGCAGUGGAUCAGCAGAGAUUCUGAGAACUGAAGGCCUCACCAGAGUGAACAGAAUCAGUGGGUUACAGUGUAUGAGCACAAAGUCUUACUAGCCACUCUCUUACUCCUCCCUGUCCCUGACCUCAAGGUACAGAACCUUCUACCGUGUCCCUCAUCUUCAUGCAGGAUCUUCUUCCCUUUUUGUUGCUGGAGGACAACAUGAACUCCUCCUGCUAACUCCUGGACCUUUCUUUAGUCCAUCUUUCUGAGCUAUGAGGCCAGCAGAAGCUCCCGUGUAUCCUGCUCUCUGUGGGACAACACCCAUUGCAAUGGGCAGGGGCUGGGUCCCUCUGUGUGAAGAAGCGGCAGAGGAGAACUAGCUAGAAGGGCUGGAAAGGCAUACUGGGGAACCUCCUGCUAUGAUAAGAGCAGUAACUGCUUUUGUAUACCAACCAAAUGGAAACUGAAAACUCUAUAAUAAAACCAACAGUAAGUGACUUUCAGAUCAGAAAACAGGUUUGCAAGACACAGUUUGUGAGCACGCCAUGGAAUGCAAACUGCCUCACGUUUUUUGGGGUCAGAGGAGGAAGCCAUCCCUCCCAUCUACAAAGAUCAGCUUGGGUGAGAAGCCAAGGCUCUAAAAACAUGACACUAUUAAAACAUGUUCCUCGGUUUCAUAUGGAUAUCGAGGAUGCAAAUGGGUUUGGAAUAGGUUUGUCAGUCAGUAAGAGAAAUGAAGAGUCGCAUCUUCCCUUUGAGCCCAAGAAACAGUGAGACAUAAUGAGCUUUUUUCUAUUUGAAGAAGUUUUAUUAUUACUUUCUAAGCUUUCAAAAUUUUUUGGAGAAUCUGAGUAAAAUGUUAGAGGCUUUCUACAGUAGUUUUUAUGGGUUGAGUGUCUAAUUAUUUCUCAGUUCUCUUCUAAGUUUCACAGAUAGGAAUCUCAACUCAUAGAAAGAUUAAACCCACAACAUGCUCUGUCUUGCACUGGAGUUCCCCAGGCCUGAGCUGGGAGCUCAACCUUGUGCUGCAUGGAAAUGCAUGAAGGAAGGUUUUACUAACUUCUGUGCAGGCAGAUGCUCGCAUCUCCAGCAGGGAGGCCAAACCUCUGAUGAUGAUUCUCUUCUUCUGGUCAAAAUGUCAUCUCCAGCAUCUGCUACCUGACCCUAACUGCAGAAGAGCUUUAUUCGCUGGAACAGCAGUUUUUUCUAACUCAUGCAAGAGGCUUUUCUCCAGAAUGGGCUUUUAUUUAAAGAAAACUCUCAGAGGAGAUUCCCAACUGUCCAUGCUAGUUUGGGCAGUCAUUCAGCAGCUAAAACUCUUCUGUCUCAAGGCUGGCAUCUCCACCGUACAGCAGCUGGUAUACAAGUUCCAUUUCAGAUCACACACCUUCUCCAAGAAUGGGCAUGGCUUUCUGAUGAAUAGCUCCUCCAUUGUCCCCUAAAGGCUCUCAGUGUUUUCCCCAAAGAGGUCUUAUCCCCAUCAUUGUAUUGCUUCCUCCUUGCACUGCCUUAAAGCCUGCUUUUAUUUCCCAGAGGUAUUUUCAAGCUGAGGUAGGCACUGACAUAAACAAAUAAAGAAGUCAUACUAAUCUCUUCUUCCUUCUACACAGCAUGAACUUUCCAC